UAUAUUUUGCACCGCACAAAAAAAUAAAACGUCAUUAUUUUUGCUGAAUUGCUAGGUGCCCAUUAUCCAUGGUGUGGAGACAUGAGUUGCUGUUUUUUCUCCUUUUGUCAAUGGGCUGGAAACCCUCUUCCACGAAUGCCAUGAACUCUACUGAAGAGACACAGGUGACUUUAAGGAGCUGAAAAAUGUUUAGCUAUGGUUCCAGAAUGCUCAACAGUGGAUUUGUGACC
rnacentral:lncRNA from 1 species